AUGGCGACCACUCUCUCGUUAUCUUCUCCCCUCUUCCUCGCCACUCCGCCCAGAGCUAGACAUGUGGUUUCAGCUGGUCCAUCAUGGAGCACUGCAAAUCUACCAUGCAAGGGGCAUUUUGCUGGUAUGAGGAGACAGGGCCGGAAGCAACACCGAAGCACACCAAUAGUAUCUCUGUUUGGGAGAAAGACCGCGAAGAAGACCACCAGAGAAACGGUCGUCCCGGACCCAGACUAUCGGUUACCGAUCGCUAUACUUGGGAUAUCUGGUGUGUUUGCAUAUGCAGACAAUCUUCUUGCCGCUGCACCUGUAGGCCUACUGGGGCUGCUUCUCUUGUUUCAGACUACUAGAGUUAGGUUCGUCUUUGAUGAUGAUUCCCUGGAAGUGAAAGUGGGCAAUCAGCUGCAGGAGUCAGGCGAAAACGUGUUUGUUGGUGGCAAGAACCGUUGGAAGUACUCAACAUUUGUGAACUGGGAACUAUGGUGGCCGCAAUUUCCUAUCCUAGUUUACUUCAAAGAGACCCAAACAAAACCCGAAGGCCAAAUUCAUUUCUUCCCAGUGAUUUUCAACGGCCGACAACUCUAUGAUAUCAUGGUGGAGCGCGCUGGAUCAUCGGAAACAAGUGGGCCUGGUCCUUGA
rnacentral:rRNA from 1 species